GACGAACGCUGGCGGCGUGCCUAACACAUGCAAGUCGAACGCAGUUGCGAACGGGUGAGUACCGCGUAGGUAACUGCCUCAUAGAGGGGGAAAACUAUUUGAAACGAUAGCUAAUACCGCAUACUGUGAGCUGGCCAUGCGUUGCAUUCGCUAGUUGGUGAGGUAAAGGCUCACGAAGGCGACGAUACAUAGCCGGCCUGAGAGGGUGAUCGGGCACACUGGGACUGGGGAACGGGCCAGACCCCUGCGGGAGGCAGCAGGAGGGAAUCUUCGGCAAUGGACGGAAGUCUGACCGAGCCACGCCGGGUGGGUUGAGAAGGUUUUCGGAGCGUAAAGCUCUGUUGUGAGAGAAGCGGUAACUAAACAGAAAGCGCCGGCUAACUACGUGCCAGCAGCCGCGGUAAUAC
rnacentral:rRNA from 1 species